GGUGGCUAGGGCAGGCGCGUCCGAUCCGAUUGAAAUCGGUAACUUCAAAGGCGCGGCUCGGUGUGGUUCGAGCG